rnacentral:rRNA from 1 species
GACGAACGCUGGCGGCGUGCUUAACACAUGCAAGUCGAACGAAAAGAGGGAAAGAGCUUGCUCUUUCCGGAAUUGAGUGGCAAACGGGUGAGUAACACGUAAACAACCUGCCUUCAGGAUGGGGACAACAGACGGAAACGACUGCUAAUACCGAAUAAGUACCAAGAGCCGCAUGGCCCAUGGAAGAAAAGGUGGCCUCUACCUGUAAGCUAUCGCCUGAAGAGGGGUUUGCGUCUGAUUAGCUGGUUGGAGGGGUAACGGCCCACCAAGGCGACGAUCAGUAGCCGGUCUGAGAGGAUGAACGGCCACACUGGAACUGAGACACGGUCCAGACUCCUACGGGAGGCAGCAGUGGGGAAUCUUCCGCAAUGGGCGAAAGCCUGACGGAGCAACGCCGCGUGAGUGAUGACGGCCUUCGGGUUGUAAAACUCUGUGAUCCGGGACGAAAAGGCAGAGUGCGAAGAACAAACUGCAUUGACGGUACCGGAAAAGCAAGCCACGGCUAACUACGU